UGGACAGCUGACAUGGAAGAACUCGGA
rnacentral:piRNA from 1 species